rnacentral:lncRNA from 10 species
UCAUUCUAAUAUUUUUUAGACCUUUUGAAUUUUGCAAGUCAGUUUCAUAAAACAUUGAGUUGAUUCCUAAAAGAUCAAAUGUAGUCAAUACUGAGCGUUUGUUGAUUUUGCCUACUGCAAAAGAACCUCAAGUUGGAAUCUCUCUACAUUCAUAUUUGUGAGUCUAUGAGGAUUGCCAGCUUGUCUUAAGGAACUGUGCUCACUCCCUGCCCAGUUGUGCAAUACCCAGAACUCUGAAGAAACAGCAAGGCUGGGCUCAUUGCGGACUUGUCUGAAUGGGUGUGAGGCAACAGGUGGAACCAUGGUGAAAUGGAGAGCACAUGAAAGUAUUUCAGACAUUUUGUUGAAGUGCUGAAGGUCUUCGUCAAAGCAACAGUACAGGAAUUAAAACCCAGGAGACUGAUUGCAGUGAAACUAUUCCCACAUAUGAAAGCCAACACACAUCUCCAAAGGAAGACGACCAACAACAGCUCCUUCAGAGCCUCACCAGCAUCUUCAGAGGUGUGCUUUAAGAAUGGCUUCAGGCUGAGCGCAGUGGCUUAUGGCUGUAAUCUUAGCACUUUGGGAAGCCGAGGCAGGAGGACUGCUUGAGCCCAGGAGUACGAGAUCAGCCUGGGCAACACAGUGAGACCCUACCUCUACAAAAAAAUAAAAAAUUAGCCAGGCAUGAUGGCAUGCACCUGUAGUCCCAGCUACUCAAGAGAAUGAGGUGGGAGGAUCACUUCAGCCCAGGAGGUCCAAGGCUGCAGUGAGCCAUGAUUGCGCCACUGCUCUCCAGACUGGGCAACAGAGGAAGACCCUGUCUCAAAAAAAAUAAAAAAAAGAAUGUCUCCCAAUUGCAUGCUUUCAUCAACUUGUGUGAAUAUACACUCAGACAAUACAGUAAUACAGAUGGAACCAAAUCACCUCUCUAAACCACCCUUCAUCCUUCCCCACUCUGCUAUUGCACUGCAUGGCUAACCGGUAAGCUCUGCUCUUUGGCUUCUGGCUGAGUUUGGCCAAAAGGCACCCUAGCAGGGAUCAGAGUAAGG